rnacentral:rRNA from 1 species
UACGUAGGGGGCAAGCGUUAUCCGGAUUUACUGGGGUGUAAAGGGAGCGUAGACGGUAUGGUAAGUCAGAUGUGAAAGCCCGGGGCUCAACCCCGGGACUGCAUUUGAAACUAUCAAACUGGAGUGCAGGAGAGGUAAGUGGAAUUCCUAGUGUAGCGGUGAAAUGCGUAGAUAUUAGGAGGAACACCAGUGGCGAAGGCGACCUACUGGACUGUAACUGACGUUGAGGCUCGAAAGCGUGGGGAGCAAACAGGAUUAGAUACCCGGGGUAGUCCCUGAGCGGGCU